GAUGAACGCUGGCGGCGUGCCUAAUACAUGCAAGUCGAGCGAACAGACGAGGAGCUUGCUCCUCUGACGUUAGCGGCGGACGGGUGAGUAACACGUGGAUAACCUACCUAUAAGACUGGGAUAACUUCGGGAAACCGGAGCUAAUACCGGAUAAUAUAUUGAACCGCAUGGUUCAAUAGUGAAAGACGGUUUUGCUGUCACUUAUAGAUGGAUCCGCGCCGCAUUAGCUAGUUGGUAAGGUAACGGCUUACCAAGGCAACGAUGCGUAGCCGACCUUAGAGGGUGAUCGGCCACACUGGAGCUGAGACACGGCCCAGGCUCCGACGGGAGGCAGCAGUAGGGACUCUUCCGCAAUGGGCGAAAGCCUGACGGAGCAACGCCGCGUGAAUGAUGAAGGGCUUCGGAUCGUAAAACUCUGUUAUUAGGGAAGAACAAAUGUGUAAGUAACGAUGCGCGUCUGGACGGUACCGAUACAGAAAGCCACGGCAACCUACGU
rnacentral:rRNA from 1 species